rnacentral:rRNA from 1 species
UGCGUAGGCGGACUAAUAAGUCAGUGGUGAAAUCUCUCGGCUCAACCGGGAAACUGCCAUUGAUACUGUUAGUCUUGAGUUCGGUUGAGGUAGGCGGAAUGUGUAAUGUAGCGGUGAAAUGCUUAGAUAUUACACAGAACACCAAUUGCGUAGGCAGCUUACUAGACCGACACUGACGCUGAGGCACGAAAGCGUGGGUAGCGAACAGGGUUAGAUACCCUGGUAGUCC